AUUGAACGCUGGCGGCAGGCCUAACACAUGCAAGUCGAGCGGAACGGCGGACGGGUGGGUAAGGCCUAGGAAUCUGCCUGGUAGUGGGGGAUAAAGUCCGGAAACGGACGCUAAUACCGCAUGCUAUCAGAUGAGCCUAGGCAGGAUGAGCUAGCUGGUGGGGGAAAGGCCAACCAAGCCGACGAUCCGUAACUGGUUUGAGAGGAUGAUCAGCCACACUGGAACUGAGACACGGUCCCGACUCCUACGGGAGGCAGCAGUGGGUAAUAUUGGACAAUGGGCGAAAGCCUGAUCCAGCCAUGCCGCGUGUGUGAAGAAGGUCUUCGGAUUGUAAAGCACUUUAAGUUGGGAGGCGUUACCAACAGAAUAAGCACCGGCUAACUUCGUGCCAGCCGCCGCGGUAAUAC
rnacentral:rRNA from 1 species